AGGGACGGAUCCGGCGGGACGAACGACCCUCGUUCCCUGGUCCGGCGGCGCGUCGCCGGUUUGGGCUUCUCUCCUUUGCGCGGAGACGCAUGAGAACCUCGAUAAGCGCAAGCUUACCGAAACUCAUGUGCAGGCUUUGAAAGCCCGGACCGCAAUAUUCGAGGUUGGCGCAGGCGUCGGUUACCCGAACGAUGGGGAGCGGCUCCCUCAGCCCGGAGGCGGCGAGACGACGCGAUCCGUGUCCGGGA
rnacentral:ncRNA from 1 species